rnacentral:rRNA from 1 species
GACGAACGCUGGCGGCGUGCUUAACACAUGCAAGUCGAACGGAAAGGCCUCUUUCGGGGGGUACUCGAGUGGCGAACGGGUGAGUAACACGUGAGUAACCUGCCCUUGACUUUGGGAUAACUUCAGGAAACUGGGGCUAAUACCGGAUAGGAGCUCCUGCUGCAUGGUGGGGGUUGGAAAGUUUCGGCGGUUGGGGAUGGACUCGCGGCUUAUCUGCUUGUUGGUGGGGUAGUGGCUUACCAAGGCUUUGACGGGUAGCCGGCCUGAGAGGGUGACCGGCCACAUUGGGACUGAGAUACGGCCCAGACUCCUACGGGAGGCAGCAGUGGGGAAUAGUGCACAAUGGGUGGAAGCCUGAUGCAGCAACGCCGUGUGCGGGAUGACGGCCUUCGGGUUGUAAACCGCUUUCGCUCAUGACGAAGCUUUGUGUGACGGUAGUGGGUAAAGAAGCACCGGCUAACUACGUG